rnacentral:rRNA from 1 species
CCUACGGGUGGCAGCAGUGGGGAAUAUUGGACAAUGGGCGAAAGCCUGAUCCAGCCAUGCCGCGUGUGUGAAGAAGGCCUUCGGGUUGUAAAGCACUUUCAGUGGGGAAGAAAGCCUUGGGGCUAAUACCCUCGAGGAAGGACAUCACCCACAGAAGAAGCACCGGCUAACUCCGUGCCAGCAGCCGCGGUAAUACGGAGGGUGCGAGCGUUAAUCGGAAUUACUGGGCGUAAAGCGCGCAUAGGCGGUCUGAUAAGCCGGUUGUGAAAGCCCCGGGCUCAACCUGGGAACGGCAUCCGGAACUGUCAGGCUAGAGUGCAGGAGAGGAAGGUAGAAUUCCCGGUGUAGCGGUGAAAUGCGUAGAGAUCGGGAGGAAUACCAGUGGCGAAGGCGGCCUUCUGGACUGACACUGACGCUGAGGUGCGAAAGCGUGGGUAGCAAACAGGAUUAGAUACCCGGGUAGUC